AUGAACGCUAGCGACAGGCCUAACACAUGCAAGUCGAGGGGCGAGCACAAGGAGCAAUCUGAGGUGGCGACCGGCGCACGGGUGAGUAACACGUAUGCAACCUGCCUGUAAGCGGGGAAUAACCCGUUGAAAGACGGACUAAUACCGCAUAAUACUAAAUUACUGCAUGGUAAUUAUUUAAACAUUUAUGGCUUACAGAUGGGCAUGCGCAUGAUUAGCUAGUUGGAGAGGUAACGGCUCCCCAAGGCAACGAUCAUUAGGGGUUCUGAGAGGAAGGUCCCCCACACUGGUACUGAGACACGGACCAGGCUCCUACAGGAGGCAGCAGUGAGGAAUAUUGGUCAAUGGACGAGAGUCUGAACCAGCCAAGUCGCGUGCAGGAAGAAUGUCCCUAUGGAUUGUAAACUGCUUUUGCAGGGGAAUAAAGUGCAUCACGUGUGAUGUUUUGUAUGUACUCUGCGAAUAAGGAUCGGCUAACUCCGUGCCAGCCGCCGC
rnacentral:rRNA from 1 species